rnacentral:lncRNA from 1 species
AGACUUCUAUCCAACUCGCCAGUGUUGAAGUUGCGGCCGAAGUCGUCAGUGGCUCGUCAGUGGUUCCAUUGUAAAGAAACACAAACCCAUUCAAAAUGUGCGACGACGAAACUUCGGCGCUCGUGUGCGACAACGGUUCGGGAUUAGUCAAGGCCGGCUUUGCCGGUGAUGACGCUCCCCGAGCUGUGUUCCCCUCCAUCGUCGGCCGCCCCCGUCACCAGGGUGUCAUGGUCGGCAUGGGUCAG